rnacentral:rRNA from 1 species
AUUGAACGCUGGCGGCAGGCUUAACACAUGCAAGUCGAGCGGGGGAAGGUAGCUUGCUACCGGACCUAGCGGCGGACGGGUGAGUAAUGCUUAGGAAUCUGCCUAUUAGGGGGGGACAACAUCUCGAAAGGGAUGCUAAUACCGCAUACGUCCUACGGGAGAAAGCAGGGGAUCUUCGGACCUUGCGCUAAUAGAUGAGCCUAAGUCGGAUUAGCUAGUUGGUGGGGUAAAGGCCUACCAAGGCGACGAUCUGUAGCGGGUCUGAGAGGAUGAUCCGCCACGCUGGGACUGAGACACGGCCCAGACUCCUACGGGAGGCAGCAGUGGGGAAUAUUGGACAAUGGGGGGAACCCUGAUCCAGCCAUGCCGCGUGUGUGAAGAAGGCCUUAUGGUUGUAAAGCACUUUAAGCGAGGAGGAGGCUACUCUAGUUAAUACCUAGGGAUAGUGGACGUUACUCGCAGAAUAAGCACCGGCUAACUCUGUGCCAGCCGCCGCCGUAA